rfam:Clostridium oryzae strain DSM 28571 CLORY_contig000167, whole genome shotgun sequence.
CCCGAAGUCCGUGAGUUAACCGAAAGGGGACAGCGGCCGAAGGUAGGGUCAGCGAUUGGGGUGAAGUCGUAACAAGGUAGCCGUAGGAGAACCUGCGGCUGGAUCACCUCCUUU